ensembl:lncRNA novel transcript
AUGUGAGCUAAUUGCCAAAUUACUGAUGUCUAUCUUUGAUUCCAGCAACCUUCUCAUUGUGAUCUGGUGUUCUUUACAAGUCUAACUACAGAGAAUGAAUGGCUGAUCCUACAGACUUCAACAAUUUUCUGUCCUCAGACAGUGAUUUAUCAUAAUGAAUUAAUAAAAUG